rnacentral:sRNA from 1 species
GUGAGCAAUGCAUCUCGAAAAGUAUGCUCUUUUCUUCAUUCAUAGUCCAAGCUAAUUUAGGGAUAUAAUGGACCAUUAAUGCCCGUGGGCAGGGACAUGUGUUGGCUUUCGUAACCGAUAGAUAAAUCUCUCCUCCUAUUCCUCACUUACUCUACCCUCUUCCCCCUUUACAUGACCAUCGCAGGAAGUCUGAAGCUCGCCAAUUCUUCCAGAAUCCCAAUGAGGACUUUUUGCAACCCACCAGCAGUUAUGACAGAAAGGGCAUUGUUCAACUCAGUGCUAGGUGGACUAAGUGAGCUUGAAUUUUAAGAUGUCGAGUGGCGACAGUCACGUGACACCUUUGCACGCUUCUCAGGAAACCGCUGGGUGCUAAAGCGCUAGAAUGAGACGAUAUAGGCCUUUUGUCCGCAGCGUUCAUCAUGAAAACCAUCGUCGGCAUGUACUUCACCAUCUCCAUCCGCAGUUUCCGGGUGUACCACUGCUAGCUUGCUUGGUGACUACAACAUAUUUUUCAAAAGAAAUUAAACCGCCUCGCUCGUCCUGAACGUCCUCAUCUCCGUGGCGCCCCCUCGAAAGUACAACACUUACAACCUGGGGGGGAGUGGACUUGGAAGGGAUGUUCUUUGGUGCAAAGGGUGAAGGAUCACACAGAAGGACAAAAAGUAAAGGUAUGACGGCGGCCGUAAAUAGAAUAUUGGGUGCGAUGUGGGAUGUAUGCUGGGAUACGAUUUGUCUAAUUAGACCUUCGAUCAUUUAUCUCCCCCAAACCGAAAGACGUUCCAGGAGCUCUGAACUGUGAAGAUGGGAUUCUCCUUUAAGUUACCGGUGAUUUACCCAUCCCAAAUAUCGAGAUGUGAAGAGCGUGUAUCGACUAAGAAGGAUCUGAAAUGAUCUUUGUUGUAGUAAUUAGAAUGGCAUUAGUUCUUCGAAAAGUUAGCACCAUUUCGAUACGCAUUAAAUGUGGAUACAAAAAAGGAUAUUCAGAGAUGCCGUCUCAAUC